rnacentral:lncRNA from 1 species
UGGUGGAGUAAGCAGUUUUAUUUCCAUUGCACAAUCAGGGAAAACUGAUGAACCAACACAAUAAGGUACAAUUUCCUGAAAUGAUUAGUAAGCUGGGAUGCUCCUUUUGGGCAAAACCUAAGUGGAGAUCAGAAAGUCAGCUGAUCUUUGAGAUAAUGGUGAGCAUCUGCACCUGGAAAACCAGAUAUUCUGAAGGGUCUGCUCUCAGUACUCAAGAAGGAGGAGGUAACAAAGCCUUCUUGUCCGUCCUGUAUCUGUUGGCUUGUAUGAUGGUCAUGCAGAUAUUAUUAGCCUCAUUAUUGUGGCCACGGACGAAUAUGGAUUUGAGGAUUCUCACUGCUCUGCACACUUGUCAAACAAAUGCAAAGAAUGGUCCUUUGUUCUGAAAAUUUCUUCACAUAAUCACUGGGGUAAAAAUGGGGCAAAGCAAAGUGAGUGUUGUCCACCUCCAAGAUGCAGGGAGAAUGGUACUACCUGCUCAGCUGCUGUUGGGCUGUAGGUUCUUGGCUACUUUGAAGAAGAGGAGGGAGCUGCCAGGAAACACAGGGCAGACUUUGCAGUGAUUUGUUGGGAAUUUUUCCCAUUUUCCCACAUGGCAGGAAAAGUGAUGUGAAAAGAGAUUGUUGGAAAAAGUGGACCAGAUGGGGCUGGCCCCAUCUCCCCCACCUGCCUAGCAACUUUGGAGAAGGUUUGGGAAGCAACACAAAACCAUUUUCUUUCUCCUCCAGCCUCUUCCCUUCUCCCAGGCCAUAACCUGAAUGUUUGUCUCCUUCCAACUGUCUUUCUUCUGUUGCAACUCCAGCAGCGUAUCCUGGCACUUUCUGAAGUGAAGUCAGAUUUUGGCAGCAUCCCUUCAGCUCUGAUGAAAGUUACAACGGGGAGGCAAUCUCUAAGGGGGGAAGGAGACAACCCUGGGUCAGUCCAAGGGACUCUGCCUGCUGUUCCCAUCAUGCU